rnacentral:rRNA from 1 species
AACGAACGCUGGCGGCAGGCUUAACACAUGCAAGUCGAACGGGUGUAGCAAUACAUCAGUGGCAGACGGGUGAGUAACACGUGGGAACCUUCCUAGGGGUACGGAACAACUCAGGGAAACUUGAGCUAAUACCGUAUACGUCCGUAAGGAGAAAGAUUCAUCGCCCCUAGACGGGCCCGCGUCGGAUUAGGUAGUUGGUGGGGUAACGGCCUACCAAGCCUACGAUCCGUAGCUGACCUGAGAGGAUGAUCAGCCACACUGGGACUGAGACACGGCCCAGACUCCUACGGGAGGCAGCAGUGGGGAAUCUUGGACAAUGGGCGCAAGCCUGAUCCAGCCAUGCCGCGUGAGUGAAGAAGGCCUUAGGGUUGUAAAGCUCUUUACCAGGGACGAUAAUGACGGUACCUGGAGAAUAAGCCCCGGCAAACUUCGUG